CUUUAAGAAGAUAUUUCUGUCUAAAUACUUUGAUCUUCAUAAUGCCCGUAGAAUCAAAACAAAGUGUAUUAUCCACACUUUCAAGCAUUAUAUGAAGUUUGAUGCCGUCGGUAAUAACAAAACUUUUGUGGAAUCAAGUAAAAUUCUUGACAAAUAUCCUUUUAUAUAUUAAUAAAGUAUAUGUGAUGAUAAAUUUUAAUUUACAUCGAAUUUAAAGAAAUAUUAUAAUUUUAAAUGAUGUUUGCCAUUGUUGAAGUCUAUUAUAAAGUAUAAUUUCUUUCAAAAAAUUUAAAGACAUGUGCUAUUUAAUAUGAGUCACCUUAAUUAUUUGACCUUUUUAAAUCUUCCUUUCAUAUAAUACAACGAACGAAACUAAAAGUAAAUGUUAGCAUAAAAUAAUACUUUAACUAUUAUAUAUUUGGCAAUUGCAAAUCUGGAAGUUAAUUGAAUAUAAUCAAACAUUAAUAUAUGCUUAGAGUAAUCAGACAGAACAACAUAUUCUUACAACAACUUUAAUAAUACAUACUAAUUUUUCUUAUUAUAUAAUAAUAUAUAGUGGAUAUUACAAUCCCUUUUCGAGAUAUAUUCAUUAACGUCUAUUGUUUUGAAAAUUCGAACAUAAUUUAACAUUAAUAUAUCAAUUAUAAAAACAAACAUUUGUCUUACUAAUGUCACCUUCAAAAUUAAUAAUUAUCUAUUUUUCAUUCUUGUUUUUACAAAUUUUCGAAAAUCUUUUAAUAGUCUUUCAGGAUCAAAGGGUUUGAAGCCGAUUCUCAAGGUGCUAAUGUAAAAAAUCACGUCUACGGUUGACAUUAUUUAAAAAAAAGGAGUCGAUUAGUGACCAACGACAUCUUACUUGAAGAUGAAUUUUCUCUCAAAAUAUUUUGAUCUUCAUAAUGCCCGUAGAAUCAAAACAUUGUAUAUUGUUCAUUCUUGUGAUCAUUAUAUGAAGUUUGACGUCGUUGUUAAUGACAAAUAUUAUAUGGAAUCAAAUAAAAUUCUUGACGAAUAUCUUUUUAUAUAUUAAUAAAGUAUAUGUAAUGAUAAAUUUAAAUUUACACCGAAUUCAAAGAAAUAUUAUAAUGUUAAAUGAUGUUUUGCCAUUGUUGAAUUCUAUUUUAAAGUUUAAUUUCUUAUAAUUUUUU
rnacentral:lncRNA from 1 species